rnacentral:rRNA from 1 species
UACGAAGGUGGCAAGCGUUGUUCGGAUUCACUGGGCGUACAGGGUGUGUAGGCGGUUUGGUAAGCCUUCUGUUAAAGCUUCGGGCCCAACCCGGAAAGCGCAGAGGGUACUGCCAGGCUAGAGGGCGGGAGAGGAGCGCGGAAUUCCCGGUGUAGUGGUGAAAUGCGUAGAUAUUGGGAGGAACACCAGUGGCGAAGGCGGCUCACUGGACCGGAACUGACGCUGAGGCGCGAAAGCGUGGGGAGCAAACAGG